GCUCCCAUGGCGUAGAGGUCACUGCGCUCGCCUUGCACGCGGGAGACCCGGGUUCGAUUCCCGGCGGGGUCA
rfam:Asian citrus Psyllid, Diaphorina citri - Florida Strain, whole genome shotgun sequence.